rnacentral:misc_RNA from 1 species
AGGUUCGUGUUAAUGACCCAAAUGCCCCCCGCCCUGUAUUUACAACUGGACUAAUUGGAAGGGACAAUUCGAUCGCAAGACAUGGGAUUCAUGGGCUCUACCGGCUGUACAAUGUGAAUAUACCAGGUGUUCGGUUAGUUGAAGGAGAGAAUACCAUCUUCUUGACACAGCCAAGAUGCACCAGCCCUUUCCAGGGUCUCAUGUAUGACUAUAUUCGUCUGGAAAGUCCUCCAUCUUCAUGAUCCAUAAAUGAAAUUUCAUGUUCAUGUAAGUAAAAUAUUUUCAAAAUGGUUCACAAAAUAAUGCGUGUGUGUAUGUAUGCCUAUGUCUGAGUUUACCUUCAUAGGACAAUAAGCCAAAAUGUGUCGAUGUACGGAUGAGCUAAAUGUGGAAUACAACUAUGCAUAUGAUAAUUUA